GUGGACCGCAAUGUCAAAAUUGCUGUUCGGCCAUUGCUCGUGAAAAAACAAAUUUGUUUACAAAACAUAUCAUAUCUUUUGGUGACAAAUGCAUUCGUCGGCAAAAUAGCUGCUCGCGCUUUACUGUAGAUAUCUACAAUCAGCGGUCGAAUUAAAAACAGUGCAGAAGGAUGUUUUGAAUAUAUUUUACCUUCUAGCCGCGCAAUCAAUGCUUUUCUUUCCAAGCAAGCAGCGUUUUUCGGCAAAAGCAUGAAAUAGAAUCGUACGUGGUAGAAUUUAUCGGCACAAUCUGAUCAAGGACGGAGGCAUCAUCAAACGGAAACUACGCGAAAAACUUUUCGAAGAGAUAAAACUGCGCCGCAACACUCGUGUCAAAAUGGACGAGUUGGGCUGGGUGCUGAUGAACCACGAUUUGAUAACACGUAAUGAGCCAAUUCAUGCCAAUGGUAAUCGACCAAAUCAUUUUGAAUUGAACAUGGAGCGGUUGCGAAACCUACUGGAGCAGCAUGAACAGAACAAUCACGCUGAGUUGACUUCCAAAAAGCAAAACGAAUUCCUGCGUAUGCUGGAUGCAAUUUUAAAAACGACAAAGUUUUGAAGGAAAUUAAAGAGAUGGUAGCGGCGAAUCGACUUCUAUCGGAAAUUCGUUAUGUGACUACGGUGGAACGUAUGCUGAAACACAAUUUGGACCCCUCUUUGCGCUGCUGCUUUGUAUGCCGAGAGUAUUUCCGCACUGCCGAUGAGUAUAUCAGUCAUUUCGAAAAAUUGCACGGUGAGAAAUUUCUUAUUGUUGCGGCGGUGGAUCGAUUUCAGACUAGUCAAAAGUUCAACGUUCUACAUCACUACAAUGCCCUUAAUCCGGUGACAAUAUUCACGAUUUGCAACGUAUACCACAUAGCCCUAAUAAAAUAAAAACAAGAAAAGACGGGUCUAAUAUUUUAUAAUAAAGAACAAAUCUACCACUUUCCACGAAAAUCGGAGAACCACUAUAUCGGUUCGACAUGGAAAUAAUACUGAUACAUAUAAGACAGAAAAAAAGGUUUAACUUUCGAAUUCAACAUCCUAUAUUUCCUCGUACCAUUAAGUUCAUGGCGCAUUUGAUGUCGGUCAUCGUAGCUGCUGCUAUGGAAAUGACGUGAGCAUAUACCUUGAUUUUUCUGAGGCUUCCAAUCCUUCGAUUGGCCACAGAAAAGUAUCCAUUUAUGAAGUCUAUCUCCAUCUCGGGGGAAAGUGUGGUAAACAAUGUCCGGGUUGUUUUUCGUUAUGCGGACCUUGUUUCCGCAUCCUUUUACUGCACAAUAAUACGGCAUCUGAAGAAAAUAAGAUAUUCACAAUAUAAUUUUGGCAUGAUAGAGAACCGCGAGAUGAACGAUUAUCUGUGGAGGAGUUGGACAACAGAUUUCUUAGACUUAUAGCACUUUAAUCACACUCACAAGCUCUUCAAAUCCUCACUGUCCCCCAAAACUAUUGAAUAAUAUGUAAUAUAAAUACCUUAUUGCAGCUCUAGUACACUAUUUUUCACGAAUAUAUAUUUGCUUAUUUCUUUCUUCAGUUGUUUUCCUCAGCGAGUUGAUAUGAAACCAUAACGACACAACCAAACAAAAAGUAAACAAUGCAGAAAGCUACGUCUCGCAACUCGUCUCACGUAUUGUCAUGAAAGUGUCAAGAACGA